ACACAUAUUGCUUUUAAAGGCGCUCGCUCACAGCCCAGUGGCUUCAGCUGCCAACGACCGAUGCACCCGCUGCCGCUGACGCCGCCGCGCGCUCUGCUGUCCGUUAAAUAGACCGACAACAACAAAGACAACGGCGCUCGUCCCGCGCGUGAGGGGCUGAAUGUACGAGGUGAAGAGGUCUACAGUACCAGCGUCCGAUUGUAACGUGGGCAAUUUCUCGUCAACAUUAAUGAAGCUUUCAAGGCUUUUUGAUUGAUCGGCAAAUAGAUGGGGAUUCUCCGGGGAGCUCCGCCCACCUGCGUCGCCUGCCGCCCCCCACCCCCCACCGCCGUCGGCCCCUGCUGCUUCCACCCCGUUCCCCCCCGGCCCUCUGCCCAUGCCUGCCUGCAGCCCCCCGCUCUUAACAUGACACUGGAACUCACCGAGUGGCCUUCCAAAUGGAUUUUGUCCACAGCCAAUAGACAAUAAGCUUGGAAAAAGUAGGAGGAGACAUGUCGAUGUCUGAAUAAGCCACACACACACACACACACACACACACACACACACACACACACACACACACACACACACACACACACACACACACACACACACACACACACACUCUCUCAUGUUCAUACACUCACAUGCUUCGCUCACUCUUAGACAUAACGCACCUGUGGAAUGUAUCUUGCGCCUUUACUGUGAAAAUAAUUCGACCACUUCCUUUCGCGCCACUCAAGGGCACAGGAGGACCUCAAUGCCGACGGAGUUGGAUGAUACUUUUAUUUUGAAGGCCGCGUUUAGCGGCUUGGCUGACCAGGCUCACAUUUUUGUUUUUUUGGAGCCCAGUUUUACGCCCGAAGCUUAAAUUAAUCCCCCACCCCAACCAGAAGAAGCUUUUCACUAUCAUCCCAAUUGUGUGAUUACACCUGAAUGCUAAUUGUAAACACCACUGCACCUACUUAGCUUUGCUAUCACUCAAUGCUAUGCUGUAAUUCAGUAUUAGGUGGACAUUAACAAUUUUGCCAUUCUACAUUUAUACAUAUAUACAUUCUUUUUUCCCCCAUUAUAUCACAAACAAAAACAGCAUACAUAAAUAUAGAUUGAGUAUUACCGCUAGGUGUUUUUUUUCUUUGGUUUUGGUUUGUUUUGGUCUUUCCCGGAGAGAAAGCAAUUCCCUGUGUUUCCACCGUCCUACCACGCCACUGACCAGGGGGGCCGUCGUCACAGAGCUGCAGGGGGGCGCGCGCUUGUCUUCCGUCGCGUGCAUGCGCUCCGCCAUGCCUCCCCAGAACGCCGACGCCGGCGACUCCGUGUCUGGAUCUGUGGUGGGCCUGGUGGAGUCCAAGACCCCCGGCCCGG